CCAAAUGGGCCAGUGCAAAUCCUACUUGGAUAACUGUGGUAAUUCCAGAGCUAAUACAUGCAACUUAUAUCCCGAAGGCGAUGGUUGUGCUUGCUUGUCUUGCGCUCUCACUGCUCUGACGGAUGCUUUUAUUAGACCAAACCGCUGAGGACUUGGGGGUUCGCUCUCUUGUCUGACUCGUUAUAUGGUGACUCUGGAUAACCAAAUUAUGACAAGCGCACGUACUUCUCUUCUGAGCGAGACGGCGCUGCCACUUUCGAGUGUCUGCCUUAUCAGCUAUCAACCGUUCGUUAUGCGCGACCGAUGGCUUUGACGGGUAACGGGGAAUCAGGGUUCGAUUCCGGAGAGGCAGCCUGAGAGACGGCUACCACGUCCAAGGACGGCAGCAGGCACGCAAAUUACCCAAUCCCAGCAAAUGGGGGAGGUAGUGACGAAAUCUAACGAUGCGGGCGCCCUUUCUGGGGCCCCGCAAUCGGAAUGGGCACUUUCUAAACAACCUGUUGAGAACCUACUGAAGG
rnacentral:rRNA from 1 species